CGCCGCCGCGGUAAUACGUAGGGUGCAAGCGUUAAUCGGAAUUACUGGGCGUAAAGCGUGCGCAGGCGGUUAUAUAAGACAGAUGUGAAAUCCCCGGGCUCAACCUGGGAACUGCAUUUGUGACUGUAUAGCUAGAGUACGGCAGAGGGGGAUGGAAUUCCGCGUGUAGCAGUGAAAUGCGUAGAUAUGCGGAGGAACACCGAUGGCGAAGGCAAUCCCCUGGGCCUGUACUGACGCUCAUGCACGAAAGCGUGGGGAGCAAACAGGAUUAGAUACCCCUGUAGUCCCUGUCUCUUAUACA
rnacentral:rRNA from 1 species